UGUUUAAAGUAAACAUACUCCUUUGCACCUUCAACGCAACACUCUAAGAGCUUUUUAAAC
rnacentral:tRNA from 1 species